ensembl:lncRNA
GGUAAAGAGAAAAGAAAUCCCUGGGAUUGGUAAGGAAAAAAGAUAUCAGAAACCAACACAAAUAAGCUAAGAGAAGGAGCAAGAACUCAAGUUUUCAAUGAAGCAGCUUUCUUAACAGCUCCAAAAGAUUUCUGCUACUGAAUUUACAGUUAAGUCUGUUCAUGGUACGAUGCAGCUGAGCUCGAUGUGGACUGUCAGAACCCCAUUAAAGGAUUUGAAAUAGCUCAGCUAGAAUUCCAUCACCUCCACUAGCUUUGUUCAUGUUGAUGCUUCCUGAGGCCCACUUAACUUCGUAUUCCAGGAUGUCUGUCUCUAGGUGAGUGAUCACACCAUCGUGAUUAUUUGGGUCAUGAAGAUCUUUUUUGUAUUGUUCUUCUGUGUAUUCUUGCCAUCUCUUCUUAACAUCUUCUGCUUCUGUUAGGUCCAUAUCAUUUCG